rnacentral:rRNA from 1 species
GGUGAACGCUGGCGGUAGGCCUAACACAUGCAAGUCGAACGGCAGCACAGUAAGAGCUUGCUCUUACGGGUGGCGAGUGGCGGACGGGUGAGGAAUACAUCGGAAUCUACUUUUUCGUGGGGGAUAACGUAGGGAAACUUACGCUAAUACCGCAUACGACCUACGGGUGAAAGCAGUGGAUCUUCGGACCUUGCGCGAUUGAAUGAGCCGAUGUCGGAUUAGCUAGUUGGCGGGGUAAAGGCCCACCAAGGCGACGAUCCGUAGCUGGUCUGAGAGGAUGAUCAGCCACACUGGAACUGAGACACGGUCCAGACUCCUACGGGAGGCAGCAGUGGGGAAUAUUGGACAAUGGGCGCAAGCCUGAUCCAGCCAUACCGCGUGGGUGAAGAAGGCCUUCGGGUUGUAAAGCCCUUUUGUUGGGAAAGAAAAGCAGCAGGUUAAUACCCCGCUGUUCUGACGGUACCCAAAGAAUAAGCACCGGCUAACUUCGUG